UGGGCUGUGUCUACAGAGAACAUGUGAAGGCUUGGAAGAAAUGAAGCCAGCAUGCUCUGCUGGAUGGGUAAUGUCAGUGUGCUUAUGCAACAGAGUGUAAGUGAUUUGAGAAAAGAACUUGGUACACGAGGCAUUAGAUGUAGUGUGCAAAAGAGAG